ensembl:miRNA gmo-mir-181a-2 gmo-mir-181a-2
AACAUUCAACGCUGUCGGUGAGUUUAAACUGAGGAAAACCAUCGAUCGUUGACUGUAC